GGGUCAAUGAUGAACAUAAAUGUCCGAGGAUGCUGAGUGACUCAUUGCAGAUGUCAAUCUGAGAUCC
rnacentral:snoRNA from 12 species